CUUCACCCAAUUAAACAGACUCGCCUCCUUUCUCCAUGGAGGCCAAGUGUGCAAUGAUUGCAGACAGUAGCCACCUUGGGAGUGUAUGCAGCCUAUUGCCUGUAUGGAUUGUCCUAAGAGCUUAGAAACAGCC